rnacentral:rRNA from 1 species
UGCUCGAGUGGCGAACGGGUGAGUAACACGUGAGUAACCUGCCCUUGACUUUGGGAUAACUUCGGGAAACUGGGGCUAAUACCGGAUAGGAGCUCCUGCUGCAUGGUGGGGGUUGGAAAGUUUCGGCGGUUGGGGAUGGACUCGCGGCUUAUCAGCUUGUUGGUGGGGUAGUGGCUUACCAAGGCUUUGACGGGUAGCCGGCCUGAGAGGGUGACCGGCCACAUUGGGACUGAGAUACGGCCCAG